CUCUGGCACAGUGGACGCAUCAUUAUACCCAUUAUACCCAUAAAACCUAGCGGUCAAACACAGAAAUGGUUCCAGUCGUUUUUUCACCAUUCAUUUUUCACAUCGUGAAUUUGACAAACACUUCAAACUAAGUAUUUGUUUGGUGUUGGCUUACCUAGGCCUGAUGUUUUUGACAAACCGUGUAAUUCUCUCUGACAAGAUGCACAAUCGAGAGCAUCCUGUAUCACUGCCUGGUACGACAACUGACCCGCCCACAAUCGUAAGGCUCUCCAGAGGGUAGUGAGGUCUGCAUAACACAUCACCAGGGGAAAACUACCUGCCCUCCAGGACACCUACACCACCCGAUGUCACAGGAAGGCCAAAAAGAUCAUCAAGGACAACAACCACCCGAGCCACUGCCUCUUCACCCUGCUAUCAUCCAGAAGGCGAGGAGUGGAACCCGGUGUGUUCAUCAGCUGCAACAGCCCAUCUGUGACAAGGACCGACGAAUUCUGCAUUCCGAGAUGUCGUUCUGCACACCACUGUUGUAAUGCGCCGUUAUUUGCCUAUUUGUGGCCCGCCUAUUAGCUAGCACGAUUCUUACCAUUCUCCUUCGACCUCUCAUCAAUGAGCUGUUUUCGCCCACAGGACUGCCACCUGACUGGAUGUUUUUUGUUUGUUGCACCUUUCUAGGUAAACCCUGGACACUGUCGUGUGUGAAAAACGGUUUCUUAGUACUGACCAGGCCAAAGUAGCACGGUGGGGUCAGAAUGUCCUCUGCUAACGAAUUUAGGAAUUAGCCUGUCUUAAUCGUCCCAUCUCUCCUCUGGCGCUGUCUCCAAUCAUUAAAUCAACGAGAUGUCAUCUUCUGAACUAUGAGUCUGUUUGUUUCUCGUCCUCCUGGUUUCGACCUUUGCCUGUCCUGACUCUGAACCCACCUGCCUGACCUGGUAUAUGAACUCUCGCCUGUCCCCCACCUGCCUGACCUGGUAUAUGAACUCUCGCCUGUCCCCCACCUGCCUGACCUGGUAUAUGAACUCUCGCCUGUCCCCCACCUGCCUGACCUGGUAUAUGAACUCUCACCAGUCCCCCACCUGCCUUUGCCUACUCCCUUUGUUAUAAUAAAUAUUGAAGCUCUACCAUCUGCCUCCUGUGUCUGCAUUUGGUUCUCGCCUUGUGCCCGUAUAGCGCAGGUUAAAUCAAAUCAAAUUUUAUUUGUCACAUACACAUGGUUAGCAGAUGUUAAUGCGAGUGUUGCGAAAUGCUUGUGCUUCUAGUUCCGACAAUGCAGUAAUAACCAACGAGUAAUCUAGCUAACAAUUCCAAAACUACUACCUUAUACAUAUAAGUGUAAAGGGAUAAAGAAUAUGUACAUAAAGAUAUAUGAAUGAGUGAUGGUAAAGAGCGGCAUAGGCAAGAUGCAGUAGAUGGUAUCGAGUACAGUAUAUACAUAUGAGAUGAGUAUGUAAACAAAGUGGCAUAGUUUAAAGUGGCUAGUGAUACAUGUAUUACAAAGAUGCAGUAGAUGAUAUAGAGUACAGUAUAUACGUUAGAACUCAAUCUUGUAAAUGAAACUUUAAUUUACAUGUAACAUUUUGAAAUCAUUAUUGUAUUACAGUAGUCAGACAAAUGUGACAAUAUCUAUAAAAUGCAACUUGUCUCCUGACUUGAGGCAAAUACUAAAAUGUAGCAAGAUAGCAGCAACAUGCUAAACUAAUCAGAGCACGCUUGCUAGCUAACCUUUGUAACUACUCAUGCUGAUUAAAAAGAUAGCGCUAGCUAAUAUAUAUAUAGUAAGUCAGCUAACAUUUGCUUUAUUGAAUAAGCUAUAUAACCUUUAAAAAACGGGGAUGGACAGGUAUGCUGCCCCGGGGGCAGCCGAGUAAAUAUAUCUAAGCUAAACAGUGCUAGUUGGCUAGCUAUCUCUUACUAAUGUUGAGUCAUAUAAUAUAACUAGCUAGGUCUCAAAUACAGUAGUUAAUCAGAUCACACUUUAUCAAAAUAUUUAAUUGAAUAAGCUAUUUAAACUGAAAAAUGUGAAUGGACGGUUAUGCUUCCCUGGGGGCAGAAACGUAAAAUGCUAAGCUAUCUCCUACU